CCUACGGGAGGCUGCAGUAGGGAAUAUUGGGCAAUGGGCGAAAGCCUGAACCAGCAACGCCGCGUGGAUGAUGAAGGCUUUAGGGUUGUAAACUCCUUUUGUUAGGGAAGAUUAUGUCUGUAUGUAACGAAUUAUCAACGGACAACUCCGUGCCAGCAGGCGAGGUAAUACGGAGGGUGCAAGGGUUACGCGGAAUGACUGGGCGAAAAGUGUGCGUAGGUGGGGUAUUAAGUCAGAUGUGAAGUCCUGUAGCUUAACCACAGAAGGGCAUUGGAAACUGGUUCUGUGGAGUGCGGGAGAGGGAGGUGGAAUUCUAGGUGUAGGGGUGAAAUGCGUAGAGAUAACGAGGAAUACCCAUUGCGAAGGCGGCCUGCUGGACCGUUACUGACGCUGAUGCGCGAAAGCGUGGGGAGCAAACAGGAUUAGAUACCCGAGUAGUC
rnacentral:rRNA from 1 species